rnacentral:rRNA from 1 species
UUGCUUCUAUGACGUUAGCGGCGGACGGGUGAGUAACACGUGGGCAACCUGCCUGUAAGACUGGGAUAACUUCGGGAAACCGAAGCUAAUACCGGAUAGGAUCUUCUCCUUCAUGGGAGAUGAUUGAAAGAUGGUUUCGGCUAUCACUUACAGAUGGGCCCGCGGUGCAUUAGCUAGUUGGUGAGGUAACGGCUCACCAAGGCAACGAUGCAUAGCCGACCUGAGAGGGUGAUCGGCCACACUGGGACUGAGACACGGCCCAGACUCCUACGGGAGGCAGCAGUAGGGAAUCUUCCGCAAUGGACGAAAGUCUGACGGAGCAACGCCGCGUGAGUGAUGAAGGCUUUCGGGUCGUAAAACUCUGUUGUUAGGGAAGAACAAGUACGAGAGUAACUGCUCGUACCUUGACGGUACCUAACCAGAAAGCCACGGCUAACUACGUGCCAGCAGCCGCGGUAAUACGUAGGUGGCAAGCGUUAUCCGGAAUUAUUGGGCGUAAAGCGCGCGCAGGCGGUUUCUUAAGUCUGAUGUGAAAGCCCACGGCUCAACCGUGGAGGGUCAUUGGAAACUGGGGAACUUGAGUGCAGAAGAGAAAAGCGGAAUUCCACGUGUAGCGGUGAAAUGCGUAGAGAUGUGGAGGAACACCAGUGGCGAAGGCGGCUUUUUGGUCUG